AGAACGAACGCUGGCGGCAUGCCUAAUACAUGCAAGUCGAACGAACACUUCGGUGUUAGUGGCGCACGGGUGCGUAACGCGUGGGAAUCUGCCCUUGGGUUCGGAAUAACAGUUGGAAACGACUGCUAAUACCGGAUGAUAUCGAAAGAUCAAAGAUUUAUCGCCCAGGGAUGAGCCCGCGUAGGAUUAGCUAGUUGGUGAGGUAAAGGCUCACCAAGGCGACGAUCCUUAGCUGGUCUGAGAGGAUGAUCAGCCACACUGGGACUGAGACACGGCCCAGACUCCUACGGGAGGCAGCAGUAGGGAAUAUUGGACAAGUGGGCGCAAGCCUGAUCCGAGCAAUGCCGCGGUGAGUGAUGAAGGCCGUUAGGGUAGUAAAGCUUACUUUACCCGAGAUGAAUAA
rnacentral:rRNA from 1 species